rnacentral:lncRNA from 1 species
AUGUGGGAAGUGACCUGCCAGGACAUCGGGGAAGGAAAGCCAAGAAGACACUCCUUGCGUCCUGCCCGUGUCUCUCUCCCCAGACAAAGCACAUCAGGACAGAUCAAAGAGAAGGAAGAGAAGCACACACGGGGGAGAUUAUACUCUGAAGCCAGAUUAUACUCUGAAGCCACGGGAACAGCCACACAUACGGAGUUCUGGAGCUGGGAUGUGUCAUCUUCCCCAUAUGUGGAUGUGGUCCCCGACGUGGAAGCUCUCCAAGCCCCCGACUUAUUUUUUUUAAAUGAAAGCUUCAUCAUGUGGGUAUCACGUGUCAUUAACUCUGUUGGCAGACUCUCCCUUCUCCAGAGAAUGCUGGUGGAGCUGAAGUUUCGAGGUUCUAAUCAUGGCUGUCUCUGUUUUAAAAGGAGCCCACCCAGGAUCACCUCAUAAAAAUAACAGGUGCACCCAUCCCAGGAAAGUACAAGAGUUUAGGAGCCCCAGGUCAGACACUGGGGUCAAGCACCCACUAUUAGCACAAAAGGUGCUCCCCACACUCUCGUCUCUUAGGACGUUAAAAGGGUUUCAGGCAUUCCGUGCCAGGAACUGGGGCAGAAAGCCAUCAUCUUGCAGUGACAUGGCCUCAUGUGUGCUUCCUGCCUCGAGAUGGCUCUGGAAGUCUGUUGUGUUGAGUUUGGG